CUUGGUCAUUUAGAGGAAGUAAAAGUCGUAACAAGGUUUCCGUAGGUGAACCUGCGGAAGGAUCAUUAAUGAAUUGAACUGGGUUGUAGCUGGUCUUUCGAGGCAUGUGCACGCCCUUUCCAAUCCAAUAUACACCUGUGCACCUCUGGGGAAGAUACUGAUCUAAGUUGGAUAACGACGGUGAUCUUUGUCUUCUCUUUUUACACCAAACUACAGUCAUAGAACGUCUUUGCUUGAUGCAAACAAAUACAACUUUCAACAACGGAUCUCUUGGCUCUCGCAUCGAUGAAGAACGCAGCGAAAUGCGAUAAGUAAUGUGAAUUGCAGAAUUCAGUGAAUCAUCGAAUCUUUGAACGCACCUUGCACUCCUUGGUAUUCCGAGGAGUAUGCCUGUUUGAGUGUCAUGAAAUUAUCAACUUCAUAGUUUCAUUACUUUGAAGCUUGGACUUGGAAGCUGCUGGCUUUGUUCGGCUCUUCUUAAAUACAUUAGCUGCUUGUCCGUGGGUUGGCUCAGAGUGUGAUAAUUAUCUGCACUUGGUGGCUGCCUGCAAGGAUGUGGCUUCUAAUCGUCUUCGGACAAUUUCUUAAGAUCUGACCUCAAAUCAGGUAGGACUACCCGCUGAACUUAAGCAUAUCAAUAAGCGGAGGAAAAGAAACUAACAAGGAUUCCCCUAGUAACGGCGAGUGAAGCGGGAAAAGCUCAAAUUUAAAAUCUGGCUGUCUUAGGCGGUCCGAGUUGUAAUCUGGAGAAGUGUUUUCUACGCUGGACCGUGUACAAGUCUCUUGGAAUAGAGCGUCAUAGAGGGUGAGAAUCCCGUCUUUGACACGGACUACCAGGGUUAUAUGAUACACUCUCGAAGAGUCGAGUUGUUUGGGAAUGCAGCUCAAAAUGGGUGGUAAAUUCCAUCUAAAGCUAAAUAUAGGCGAGAGACCGAUAGCGAACAAGUACCGUGAGGGAAAGAUGAAAAGCACUUUGGAAAGAGAGUUAAACAGUACGUGAAAUUGUUGAAAGGGAAACGCUUGAAGUCAGUCGCGUUAGUUGAGACUCAGCCUUGCUUUUGCUUGGUGCAUUUCUUAGCUGACGGGUCAACAUCAAUUUUGAUCAUUGGAAAAAGACCUUGGGAAUGUGGCACCUUCGGGUGUGUUAUAGCCCUUGGUUGUAUGCAAUGGUUGGGAUUGAGGACCGCAGUGCGCCUUUAUGGUCGGGGUUCGCCCUCGUUCGCACUUAGGAUGUUGGCAUAAUGGCUUUAAGCGACCCGUCUUGAAACGCGGACC
rnacentral:rRNA from 1 species